rnacentral:rRNA from 1 species
GGCAUUUAAGAAAGUAUCGGUAGGGGAGCAUACUCACAGCGUUGAAUGGUGUACGUAAGUUGUCCUGGAGCGGUGAGUAAAGCAAAUGUAGGAAUAAGUAACGAUAAGGAGGGUUAGAUUCCCUCCCGCUGUAAGACCAAGGUUUCCCGGGCAAUGCCAAUCAGCCCGGGGUCAGUCGGGUCCUAAGUCUAAGCCGAACGGCGAUGGCGAUGGCAGAGACGGUUAAUAUUCCGUCACUGCCGCAUGGGGCGACGUGGAGACGGAGCAGUGAAACCACCGCGGGGCGACGGAAGUCCCCGUUGAAGAGUGUAGGCGUUGAGGAUGGCAGGCAAAUCCACCGUCCGAGCUGAACUUGAGAGUAUAGAGUCUUCUUCGGAAGAAUCCAAUAGUGUGGGUAAUCAUACUCCCGAGAAAAUCCGCUAAGCUUAACCCAUGCGGCACCCGUACCGCAAACGGACACACGUGGUCGGGUAGAACAUACUGAGGCGUUGAGAGAUUCAUGGUUAAGGAACUAGGCAAAUUGACCCUGUAACUUCGGGAUAAAGGGUCCUCGUGAAUAGCGAGGCGCAGAGAAUAGGUCCAGGCAACUGUUUAACAAAAACACAGGGCUGUGCAAACUCGAAAGAUGACGUAUACAGCCUGACACCUGCCCGGUGCCGGAAGGUUAAGAGGAGAUGUCACUCGCAAGAGGAAGCAUUGAAUUGAAGCCCCGGUAAACGGCGGCCGUAACGAUAACGGUCCUAAGGUAGCGAAAUUCCUUGUCGGGUAAGUUCCGACCUGCACGAAUGGUGUAAUGAUCCGGACGCUGUCUCAACCAUGAGCUCAGUGAAAUUGUAGUAUCGGUGAAGAUGCCGAUUACCCGCGAUGGGACGAAAAGACCCCGUGAACCUUUACUACAGCUUAGCAUUGACCUUGGUCAUCCGAUGUGUAGGAUAGGCCGGAGGCUUCGAAGCGGGAGCGCCAGCUUUCGUGGAGCCAUCCUUGAAAUACGGCCCUUUGGCUGUCUGAGGUCUAACGCGCGAUGCGCGGACACUGCUUGGUGGGUAGUUUGACUGGGGUGGUCGCCUCCAAAAGCGUAACGGAGGCUUCCAAAGGUGCCCUCGGGUCGAUUGGUAACCGACCUCAAAGAGUGCAAUGGCAUAAGGGCGCUUGACUGGGAGGCAGACAUGCCGAGCAGGCAGGAAACUGGGGCAUAGUGAUCCGGCGGAUGUGUAUGGAAACUCCGUCGCUCAAAGGAUAAAAGGUACUCCGGGGAUAACAGGCUGAUCCCCCCCAAGAGCUCAUAUCGACGGGGUGGUUUGGCACCUCGAUGUCGGCUCGUCACAUCCUGGGGCUGGAGAAGGUCCCAAGGGUUGGGCUGUUCGCCCAUUAAAGUGGCACGCGAGCUGGGUUCAGAACGUCGUGAGACAAUUCGGUCUCUAUCUAUCGUGGGCGUGGGAGUUUUGCGUGGUACCGUCACUAGUACGAGAGGACCGUGAUGGACAGACCUCCGGUUUACCAGUUGUGCCGCCAGGCGCACCGCUGGGUAUCUGAGUCUGGAUUGGAUAAGCGCUGAAAGCAUCUAAGUGCGAAGCCAGCCGCAAGAUGAGAACUCCAUUGAGGGUCGUCAGAGACGAUGACGUUGAUAGGAUGCAGGUGUAAAGACAGCGAUGUCAAAGCCGAGCAUUACUAAUUGCCCAAAAAA